GUCUGGGAUAGCUCAGUUGGUAGAGCAUGCGAGUCUUAAUCUUAGGGUUGUGGGUUCUAAUUCCACGUUGGGCA